GCACCAAUGGUUUAGGGGUAAAAUUCCAGCUUCCCACUGUGUCAGACGAGCUGGAGCGCCGGGUUCGAGUCCCGGUUGGUGCA